UCUCGAUAGCGUAAAAGUUAACGCAAAUAUGUAUGGAAUUGGAAUGUUUUCCUAUGUUUGCCGCUAGGGGCGCUGUUCCAAUUGCAUACUUUGAGUUAACUUUUACGCUAUCGA
rnacentral:pre_miRNA from 9 species